GGGCGGGUGGUUGCGGCGCGCUUGGUGAGGGGAUUGUGGUCCCGCGGCGGGUGUUGGCUGCCCCCGGUUCCUCCCUUCAGGCACGGUGAGGCGGCACCGGGAAGGGGCAGGCGGACAGACAGGCAGAUAGACAGUUAGAUAGACAGAUAGGUAGGUAGGUAGAAGAGAGCCGGCUGGGUUCCUCUGCCUCCUCAUCGUUAUGGCCGGCUCGGAGCAGCCGCCGCCGCGGCGGGAGGAUAGCGAAGCGCCGCUGCCCAUCGAGGACGCGGAGCUGGCGCUGGCCGGCAUCAACAUGCUCCUGAACAACGGCUUCCGCGAGUCCGACCAGCUCUUCAAGAAAUACAGAAACCAUAGUCCAUUAAUGAGUUUUGGAGCCAGUUUUGUCAGUUUUUUGAAUGCCAUGAUGACGUUUGAAGAAGAAAAAAUGCAGCUAGCCUGUGAUGACUUAAAGGCGACAGAGAAGCUUUGUGAAAGUGAAGAAGCUGGAGUUAUAGAAACAAUCAAGAAUAAAAUUAAAAAAAAUGUUGAUGGACGAAAAUCCACUCUAUCCAUGAUAGAUCGUCUACAAAGACAAAUAAUUGUAGCAGACUGUCAAGUCUACUUGGCUGUGCUCUCAUUUGUAAAACAAGAGUUAUCAGCAUACAUAAAAGGUGGGUGGAUACUCCGAAAAGCCUGGAAAAUUUACAAUAAAUGCUAUACGGACAUUAAUACACUUCAGGAAAUAUAUCAGAAGAAAACAACUCAGGAAUCCUUGACUUCUGAUGCUGCAAAUGAUAAUCAAUAUUGCUGCAGAAGGGUGUAACGGAGGAUUCGCUAAACAGACUGAAAGGUGCUGUUAGCUUUUGGAUAUGGACUUUUUCAUCUUUGCAUAUCCAUGGUGCCCCCAAACCUGCUCAAAAUCAUCAACAUGCUGGGUUUUCCUGGAGACCGCCUACAGGGGCUUUCCUUCACUGAUGUAUGCAAGUGAAAGUAAGACAUGAAGGCCCCUUUAGCUACAUUAGCUCUGUUGUGGUACCACACAGUUGUUCGUCCCUUUUUUGCCCUUGAUGGCAGCGAUAACAAGGCAGGAUUGAAAGAGGCAAAAGAAAUUCUUGCAAAAAAAGAAUCUGCUUAUCCAAAUUCUUCUCUGUUCAUGUUCUUCAAGGGAAGGAUACAGCGAUUAGAG